AAAAUCUCUCUUAUUUCCUCAGUCUCUCAGAUCUCUUCCCUUACGUAGUCGAACGCCCCCUUCUCCCUGAGUCCUGUGUUGAAAGGCAAACCCAAUUCCAAUCCCAAGGGCUUGCCUACUUCAUAUCUCGGCUUUGAUCUUCUUUCCUGCAUCCCAUCCGCAUAAAAACUGUUCAUUUCUUUCCUUCAUCUCUUAGUUGUUGCUCAUCCGCCGCUGCUCCCUACCUUUGUUGUUGUGCCAAGAAGCAAUCCACCAG
rnacentral:misc_RNA from 1 species